rnacentral:rRNA from 1 species
CCUACGGGAGGCAGCAGUGGGGAAUUUUGGACAAUGGACGCAAGUCUGAUCCAGCAAUGCCGCGUGCAGGACGAAGGCCUUCGGGUUGUAAACUGCUUUUGUACGGAACGAAACGGUCUGCUUUAAUACAGUGGGCUAAUGACGGUACCGUAAGAAUAAGCACCGGCUAACCACGUGCCAGCAGCCGCGGUAAUACGUAGGGUGCGAGCGUUAAUCGGAAUUACUGGGCGUAAAGCGUGCGCAGGCGGUUAUAUAAGACAGAUGUGAAAUCCCCGGGCUCAACCUGGGACCUGCAUUUGUGACUGUAUAGCUAGAGUACGGUAGAGGGGGAUGGAAUUCCGCGUGUAGCAGUGAAAUGCGUAGAUAUGCGGAGGAACACCGAUGGCGAAGGCAAUCCCCUGGACCUGUACUGACGCUCAUGCACGAAAGCGUGGGGAGCAAACAGGAUUAGAUACCCUGGUAGUCCACGCCCUAAACGAUGUCAACUGGUUGUUGGGUCUUCACUGACUCAGUAACGAAGCUAACGCGUGAAGUUGACCGCCUGGGGGUAAGGUACGGCCGCGAGUAGUUAACGUUACGAAGUUAGAGUUAGACGGCGNGAGACGACCGACGGACGACGACGAGGGAGGAGG